rnacentral:rRNA from 1 species
AAAUUGAAGAGUUUGAUCAUGGCUCAGAUUGAACGCUGGCGGCAGGCCUAACACAUGCAAGUCGAACGGUAACAGGAAGAAGCUUGCUUCUUUGCUGACGAGUGGCGGACGGGUGAGUAAUGUCUGGGAAACUGCCUGAUGGAGGGGGAUAACUACUGGAAACGGUAGCUAAUACCGCAUAACGUCGCAAGACCAAAGAGGGGGACCUUCGGGCCUCUUGCCAUCGGAUGUGCCCAGAUGGGAUUAGCUAGUAGGUGAGGUAACGGCUCACCUAGGCGACGAUCCCUAGCUGGUCUGAGAGGAUGACCAGCCACACUGGAACUGAGACACGGUCCAGACUCCUACGGGAGGCAGCAGUGGGGAAUAUUGCACAAUGGGCGCAAGCCUGAUGCAGCCAUGCCGCGUGUAUGAAGAAGGCCUUCGGGUUGUAAAGUACUUUCAGCGGGGAGGAAGGGAGUAAAGUUAAUACCUUUGCUCAUUGACGUUACCCGCAGAAGAAGCACCGGCUAACUCCGUGCCAGCAGCCGCGGUAAUACGGAGGGUGCAAGCGUUAAUCGGAAUUACUGGGCGUAAAGCGCACGCAGGCGGUUUGUUAAGUCAGAUGUGAAAUCCCCGGGCUCAACCUGGGAACUGCAUCUGAUACUGGCAAGCUUGAGUCUCGUAGAGGGGGGUAGAAUUCCAGGUGUAGCGGUGAAAUGCGUAGAGAUCUGGAGGAAUACCGGUGGCGAAGGCGGCCCCCUGGACGAAGACUGACGCUCAGGUGCGAAAGCGUGGGGAGCAAACAGGAUUAGAUACCCUGGUAGUCCACGCCGUAAACGAUGUCGACUUGGAGGUUGUGCCCUUGAGGCGUGGCUUCCGGAGCUAACGCGUUAAGUCGACCGCCUGGGGAGUACGGCCGCAAGGUUAAAACUCAAAUGAAUUGACGGGGGCCCGCACAAGCGGUGGAGCAUGUGGUUUAAUUCGAUGCAACGCGAAGAACCUUACCUGGUCUUGACAUCCACGGAAGUUUUCAGAGAUGAGAAUGUGCCUUCGGGAACCGUGAGACAGGUGCUGCAUGGCUGUCGUCAGCUCGUGUUGUGAAAUGUUGGGUUAAGUCCCGCAACGAGCGCAACCCUUAUCCUUUGUUGCCAGCGGUCCGGCCGGGAACUCAAAGGAGACUGCCAGUGAUAAACUGGAGGAAGGUGGGGAUGACGUCAAGUCAUCAUGGCCCUUACGACCAGGGCUACACACGUGCUACAAUGGCGCAUACAAAGAGAAGCGACCUCGCGAGAGCAAGCGGACCUCAUAAAGUGCGUCGUAGUCCGGAUUGGAGUCUGCAACUCGACUCCAUGAAGUCGGAAUCGCUAGUAAUCGUGGAUCAGAAUGCCACGGUGAAUACGUUCCCGGGCCUUGUACACACCGCCCGUCACACCAUGGGAGUGGGUUGCAAAAGAAGUAGGUAGCUUAACCUUCGGGAGGGCGCUUACCACUUUGUGAUUCAUGACUGGGGUGAAGUCGUAACAAGGUAACCGUAGGGGAACCUGCGGUUGGAUCACCUCCUUACCUUAAAGAAGC